CAGGUGCCAGCAGCCGCGGUAAUUCCAGCUCCAAUAGCGUAUAUUAAAGUUGUUGCAGUUAAAAAGCUCGUAGUUGGAUUUCUGGUUUGAUGCGCUUGGCCCGCCAUGUCUAUCAUGUGUGAGUGCUGACGCGCGUCUACCAUCCUUCUAGAGAACGUUUCUACCAUUCAGUUGGCCGGACUCGCAAUCUAGAUCUUUUACUUUGAAAAAAUUAGAGUGUUCAAAGCAGGCUUGUGCUGUGAAUACAUUAGCAUGGAAUAAUAAUUUAGGACUUUAGCCCUAUUUUGUUGGUUUCUAGGACUGAAGUAAUGAUUGAUAGGGAUAGUUGGGGGUGCUAGUAUUCAGCGGCCAGAGGUGAAAUUCUUGGAUUCGCUGAAGACUAACUUAUGCGAAAGCAUUCACCAAGGAUGUCUUCUUUAAUCAAGAACGAAAGUUGGGGGAUCGAAGACGAUCAGAUACCGUCGUAGUCUCAACCAUAAACUAUGCCGACUAAGGAUGAGUGAACGUUAAUUUGACUUCAUUCGCACUUUAUGAGAAAUCAAAGUUUUUGGGUUCCGGGGGGAGUAUGGUCGCAAGGCUGAAACUUAAAGGAAUUGACGG
rnacentral:rRNA from 1 species